UUUUUUUAUAUUGCAUCAUUCCAUAGCCUUUAUUUUCAUCCUGCGGGGCUCAUUGUAGAACCUUUCCCUCUGCAUGCACUUAAAUUGCUACAUUGUCCCUUAAAUUCCCCAAAACUAAACCAUUUUAUGCUUUCAAUUUUCUCAGCAUUUCGCCAUGAACCUUGAAAAUUCUCACUCUGUUGAUGACAAAACCAAGAGAAGUUGGUCAAGUUAUUAUGUCACAAUUUUCUGCACACCAUUUGUUUGUGUGGAUAACUUAAUGACAAGAUUGAAGAUACCAAGUUGGAGAACGUUUUGGAGGAAGGUCAAGAGGGAAAAGAGGAAGCUAUUCGGUGCUUCACCUGCAAUUCAUGCUCACUCGAUUUGCGGUCCCCUCCAGGAUCUUUGAGAAGAAUGAAAUAGCGUGCACUGCUGAUAAAUUGUGAGAGAACAUGGUGUACUUUUUUCGGUUCUUUUGAUCUCUCGGUUUUACUUUUCCUAUGAACAUGAUGCUGUUGUACAAAGUUUUGGAUAUCUUGUUAAUCUUUGAGUUAGGUGUUAUGGAA